GCUCGCAAAGUGAAAUCCAAGGAGUGUCUGAGGUGCAGUGCUCCAUGAAUCACAGCUUUUCAUUCUGGUUGUGCUUACCGUGGGUAAGUAAGAGCAGGUUUUGAUACAUGAAGAGUAUACAGAGAGGGGAGGCAGAAGAGGGAGCCCAUCACGGAGAGCAGAAAGAUGAGACACUGAGCAGCAGGAACAGUGACCAAGGAAAUCACACUGUGGACAGUAAGGAAGGC